UACAGAGGUCCCGAGCGUUGUUCGGAUUCACUGGGCGUAAAGGGUGCGUAGGUGGUUAGGUAAGUCCGAUGUGAAAUCUCCAGGCUCAACCUGGAAAUGGCAUUGGAAACUACCUUGCUCGAGGGUUGGAGGGGGACUGGAAUGCUUGGUGUAGCAGUGAAAUGCGUAGAUAUCAAGCGGAACACCAGUGGCGAAGGCGAGUCCCUGGACAACUCCUGACACUGAGGCACGAAAGCUAGGGGAGCAAACAGG
rnacentral:rRNA from 1 species